AAAUGAUCUUAUUAUGUUUUAAAAGCAUUCAUUAAGACUUAGUGACUUUAAAGCCCGGCUCCAUCACCUGUCUUCUCCUUCGUCAUCUAUAUUGCCCGAAUACAGGGAAUCUUACAGAUGGUAACUUCCAGGUGCCAGCUGUAGGAGUAUUAGAAUGUAACCAUCUUCCCAGGAGACCCCCAACUGAUGGCUCCCGACCUCCAGGGACCCAGCUAAGGCUCCAAAGCACUUCAGCCUCAUUAAAGGAGCUGAUCUGUGCAUCUGUCCUCUGGGACACAGAAUAUUACCUCACUCUUCUUCCAUCAGAACUUAAUUUAUCUCUGAGUAAAUCCAGAAGGUCACCUUUUCGGAUCCAGCUCCAUUAUAACCAGCCUUUCCUCCACCAGACGCCCAGCUGCAGAUCUCAUACUUAACCCAAAACCCUGCAGUUGAACCUGCCCGCGCAUCAACCCCAAACGCCGGCUAGUGCGGAGCUGGGAGCCGGGAGCAGGAUCGGCCUGAGCGCAUGCACGAAUCCUCGGAGGCUCCAGGCGUUCUCGCCGCGUUACCGCGGAAGCAUCUCCUCUCGCGGGAGUGAUUUGAAGCCCGGCGGGAACCGGGCUUGCCAGGGCUGAGUCUGAGGGGACGGUCGCGAGCUGCAGCUCGGAGCGCGUGGGCCGGGGAGAAGCAGCUGCUGAUGAACAAGGGAUCUCAGGCGGGCUGUCGCAGCAGCAGCAGCGCCAGAGCCACCGGCUGAUGGUGGAUCCACUCCGCUUCCGGGUCCAGCCGCGACCCAGGCGAUAAAAUCCUAAUAAAUCCCAGAGUGACGCACAGCCCCUGUGCGAGUAUCUCUGAGACUGUUGACGUUUGGAUUCCGGUUUACCUUGUCUAUUUACUUAGAAUACUAUAGUGUUUUUGAUAAUCACAGUAGUCUUGUGUGGGCUUUUAGGUUAAGACAACCAUUGAUUAAAAAAAAACCUAUAAAUUCAUUAAUUAGAUGUACAUAUGUAUCUUUCCCUGUAAUGAUUUUUAAUAAAACACAUGUUGAAAUCACU
ensembl:lincRNA Gm42555 predicted gene 42555